UAAAGAUUUAUCGGCUGCGGAUGGCCAUGCGGCGCAUUAGCUAGUCGGCGGGGUAACGGCCCACCGAGGCGACGAUGCGUAGGGGUUCUGAGAGGAAGGUCCCCCACACUGGUACUGAGACACGGACCAGACUCCUACGGGAGGCAGCAGUGAGGAAUAUUGGUCAAUGGCCGAGAGGCUGAACCAGCCAAGUCGCGUGAGGGAAGACGGCCCUACGGGUUGUAAACCUCUUUUGUCGGGGAGCAAAGAGAGCCACGUGUGGCUCAUUGAGAGUACCCGAAGAAAAAGCAUCGGCUAACUCCGUGCCAGCAGCCGCGGUAAUACGGAGGAUGCGAGCGUUAUCCGGAUUUAUUGGGUUUAAAGGGUGCGCAGGCGGAGGUGCAAGUCAGCGGUCAAAUUGCGGGGCUCAACCCCGUACUGCCGUUGAAACUGCAUCCCUUGAGUGCGCGAGAAGUAUGCGGAAUGCGUGGUGUAGCGGUGAAAUGCAUAGAUAUCACGCAGAACUCCGAUUGCGAAGGCAGCAUACCGGCGCGCAACUGACGCUCAUGCACGAAAGCGUGGGUAUCGAACAGGAUUAGAUACCCUGGUAGUCCACGCAGUAAACGAUGAA
rnacentral:rRNA from 1 species